CCAAAAUGAUGCAAAACUUUUAUCAACUGAAGAACCAUGUGGUUUCAAAAUAUCGAGCUUUUUAACACUGAUAUUGGU
rnacentral:snoRNA from 1 species